rnacentral:rRNA from 1 species
UACGUAGGUGGCAAGCGUUGUCCGGAUUUAUUGGGCGUAAAGCGAGCGCAGGCGGUUUCUUAAGUCUGAUGUGAAAGCCCCCGGCUCAACCGGGGAGGGUCAUUGGAAACUGGGAGACUUGAGUGCAGAAGAGGAGAGUGGAAUUCCAUGUGUAGCGGUGAAAUGCGUAGAUAUAUGGAGGAACACCAGUGGCGAAGGCGGCUCUCUGGUCUGUAACUGACGCUGAGGCUCGAAAGCGUGGGGAGCAAACAGGAUUAGAUACCCCCGUAGUCC